GACGAACGCUGGCGGCGUGCUUAACACAUGCAAGUCGAACGAUGACGCCCGAGCUUGCUCGGUCUGAUUAGUGGCGAACGGGUGAGUAACACGUGAGCAACCUGCCCUUCACUCUGGGAUAACCUCGGGAAAUCGGGGCUAAUACCGGAUAUGAGCUCCUGUCGCAUGGCGGGUGUUGGAAAGUUUUUCGGUGAAGGAUGGGCUCGCGGCCUAUUAGUUUGUUGGUGAGGUAGUGGCUCACCAAGGCGAUGACGGGUAGCCGGCCUGAGAGGGCGACCGGCCACACUGGGACUGAGACACGGCCCAGACUCCUACGGGAGGCAGCAGUGGGGAAUAUUGCACAAUGGGCGAAAGCCUGAUGCAGCGACGCCGCGUGAGGGAUGACGGCCUUCGGGUUGUAAACCUCUUUCAGCAGGGAAGAAGCGAAAGUGACGGUACCUGCAGAAGAAGCGCCGGCUAACUACGUG
rnacentral:rRNA from 1 species